CUCUCAUAUGGAGCUGUCAUAUCGCUUCGGUCAAAAUAGGACAAAUCAUGCGAAGGAUAUAACGAGCAAUUUUGUAAAAUAAAUUUGUCAUAAUCUUUUACGGUUGCGAAGGAGAUGCCGCUUACAAGGAAAACAGUGUUUGGAGAGAUAACUCCUACAAAGAAAAGUAUUUGUUUACGCAGGGUAAAUUUCAAAAGCGCAUAAACUGUUCGAUAUCAUAUACAAAAUAUCUAAGCGACAUAUUGCGAAACAAAUGUUUAUCGCAAGAACAAAAUUAGGCGAAGAAAAAAAAGAAAAAAAAAAAUAAUCAGAAGAAAAACAAUAGGUCUUUCCACAGAAAAGUGGAAAGACCUAAUAACAAA
rnacentral:lncRNA from 1 species